CGUCCUUCUCUCCUCUCCUCUCCUCUCCUCUCCUCCAUCAAUCUUAGAGAAAAAAACUAUUGCGCUUUCAUUGUCGUUGUCAAUGUCGAAUUUGAAUUGCGAGUUGUCUUCAAUUUCACAGCCUCUAUUUUCGAACUACUGCGCUUUGUCGUUGUCAAUGUCGCCAUUGUUGACUACUCUUCCGGCGAAGUCCGAUGACUUGCUUUCUGAAUGGGAGAGAGUUUAUCUUUCGAUUGAUCCUGGUGUUUUUCUACUUGAUAUCGCCUUUGUUCCUGAUGACCCUAAUCACGGUACUCGGUUUCUAUUUUUAUUUUUCCUUUUAUUUUAAUUAGUUUUUGAAUCAUCUGAUUUUUCUACUUGUUGUGGCUUAAUUUUCAUUUUAAUUGAUAUUUUUUUGGCUGAAUUAGUAAAUUUUAUAUAACCUGAAUUUUCUAAUAUUUGUGGCUUAAUUUUCAUUUGAAUAAUUGUUUUUUUGGCUGAUCUUUCAUCACAUUUUGAGUCUAUUUUUUGUAAUCUAAUUUUCUAAUAUUUGUUAUAAUUAUUGUUUUUUUUUUUUCGGCUGAAUUUUCAUUUUGAGUAGUUUUUUUGCAUUAACUGAUUUUUCUAAUGUUUGUGGUUUAGUUUUCAUUUGAAUAAUUGUUUAUUUUUGGCUGAAAAUUCAUUUGAGUAGAUUUUGUAUAAUCUGAAAUUCAGAAUUGUGUUUUGUCACUCUGUGAUAUAUUUUCUUUAUUUGGUUGAUGUGAUGAGCUUUUAAUAGAAUUUGAGUACUUUGAACAAUUCAACAAAUGCGCUAUUAUUGUGAUUGUGAAAAAUGAAUUGGAGGUGUGAUAUAAAAAUAAUUAUGAGAAUUAGAGAGUACUUAUUUCUGAUUGAAUAAUGGUGGUGUUCUUAUGCUGGAAGGAGUGGGAAGAAGGGAGAGGAAAUGUCAUUAGUCGUUUCAAGCAACUAGUAUAUAUACAGAGCUAUGAAAUCAGGAAGUGUUUGGUUGCAUAUUUUUUGGGUGACAAUAGUCAAUGCCUUUUGUCUCUAAGGUAAUGAGUGCUUGCUUUUGUUACUCACCCUUAUUCGAUGAAUUGGUGAAAAAUAAUAGGAAUCAAUUUAACUAAUUGAUUUGUUCUAGCUUUACAGAUCAUAUGGCCAGCAGCAAUGCCUCUCCUACUGUGUGAGGUUGAUAUUGUAUGAAUUACGUGAUUUUGGGAAUAAAACAAACUGUUGAGAUGCCUUCAUUGAUGAAGGCUAAUAGAGUAAUAGCUAGUUCCUGCUUCGGUGUGCUUGAAGGUCAAAGGAAGGAUUUAAUUCGCGGUCAAAUUUUGAUGUUAAGUAGCCUUUAGGAAGAACACUGGUAUGAUAGUACUUCAGUCAAGGCUUUGAAGACAGGAAGAAUUAAGUACCUUAAUAAUAUAAAUACAUAAGCAUUACUGCAAUAGUUACUAAUUAGAGGGUCUUGUCUCAUGAAUAUGGACUAUGGAUUCCAUUUCCUGCAUAUUGUGAUGUAGGUUCUGCAAUGUUGUGUUAGUUUUUAAUUUUAAGUUCAAGUCCUAUUUAAAAAAGUUGUCUGGCUCAUGUUAUGGGAUAAUAUGGUGUAGGUUCCAGUGAAAGAUAAAAUUAUGUAUGCCUUAAAGCUGUCAGUUUGUAUCACUAAGUAUGAGGUAGAGACACUAGUAGAAAAAUGCUCAUUUGCGUCACCUUAUUUGCGUCACUCGUAGAAACAAAUGACGCAAAUAAUACAUUUUAGCUUCACUAUAAGUAAUUUGCGUCGCACAUUAACUACAAAGCGAAGCAAAAGUCUGAUAUAUUUCAGCUUACUCAUAUUUGCGUCGCUUUCAUAAAUAAAAAAAACGCAAAAGAUAAUGUUAUUUGCGUCGCUCAUUUAUUGACAGGUGACGCAAAUAGCUUUGUGAGUAAAUUGCGUCACUUCUUUCUUUAUUGAGUGACGCAAAUGACUAUUACAAUUACAGUCCACUCAACUCUUCCUCACAUUCAAUAUAAAACACUCUUGUUGCCAUGUCGCCGUUCGAACUUCAAAACCCUAGCAGCUUCAACUGAAAAAUCCCCUAAAAUUCAACAUCAAAACCUCAAGAAAAUCGUCUAACUAGCCGAAUCUCCAGCGCUGCCUUGUUGUCGUUCGUACUGCAAAACCCUAGCGAAUUCAACAGCAAAACCCUGAUAAAUUCGACCCCAAACCAACAAAUUUGACCCCAAAAUCAAUAAAUUCAACCUGUAAUUGAAAACCCCAGAAUAUCCAAGCCAAAACCCCCCAUUUUCAAGCAAAUCCGAGGCAAAACACCCUAUUUUUGAGCAAAAAUCGACCAAAACCCCCACGAAAUUCGAACUAUUAAAACCGCUGAUAGUCGAGAUGAAAUACUCUACAUCGAGGCUAGCAAGGAAUUGCUGCUUGUUGGUGUUGUUGUUGAUGGUUAGCAGGGGAAGCAGUGGAGAUGGUUGACAGUAAUAAGAGGUAUGCAGCAGGUGCUUGUGGUUGAUGGUGAGUGUGGUGGUCUAGCCUAGUGUAGUGGGAAAUUUGUUACAGAUAGCUAUUUUGUUGUUGAGUUGUUUGUGAAUUGCAAGGGAUAAUGUCAAGGUUUCUCUCUCUUAUAUUUAGAUUAACUCUAAUCUUAUUGUUAUUCAGUGAAUUUUCUGGUUUAGUUGUUCUAUAAUUUGAGGUAAUAAUUAAUUUCUUACUUCAUUUCUCUCAUAUUAAAGGUAAUUUAACAUUACAAUUGAAGGUUUUAAAAAAAAAAUUACAAUUGAAGCGGCAUAAUCUACUUCUUCAUUACCGAAUAAGAAUUUUAAGAGAAGUAGUCAAAAUAAUGACACAAUGUUAUUCCUUUGUUUUGUGUAUGAUAUUGUUUACCUCAAAUUGAAAUGAUGAUGUUAAUUACUACUUACUGAUAAAGUGAUUAUGAGUUGAUGGCAUUCUGUUUUUGCAUUUCGUAUUUUAAGAGAAUAAUAGCACUGCAAUUUUCAUUUUGUUUUGUGUACGAGAAGACAGGUACAAUGAACAUGUUUAAGCUAGACAUAUAAACUUUGGUAAAACAGGACUAAACUUAUUAGGGCCGUGAUUAAUAGAAAUUGUAGCUUAAAUUGGUCCAUAGUUUUUGUGUAUGUUAUUAAUCAAAUAAUGAAAUAAUCACCCAACCUUCCAGCAGUAUAUUAACUCUGUAGAGUUCUAGCUGAAAUAUAACCUUUAGUAGUCCUCAUCACCAAGUGUUCGAAUCGAAGGUAUCAUGAUCUUACUCUGGAGUCAAUGAAUGAUGCUAACAUUGUGAAGAAUGCAAAAUUCGAAUAAUACGUUACUAGAAUUCCCAUUAGUUACUGUAAUAGUUGCAGUUGCAGAAUUUACAGGAAGAAUUAUUGAAGAAGAUUGAUUUUGAUUUAAUAUAUGUAUGAUCCUUAAAUCAUGGAUAUAAAUUUAUCAAAACUGAAUAUAAGGGCUUGUUUUUCUCUUUAAAAUUGUGAAUUAAGUUCUAAUCCGAGAUGUUUUUCUCUUUAAAAUGUGGUGAGAAUGAUAUGAUUAGUAUUCUUAUUUUUCAUGCUUAGGUUUUAUCUUGUUUGAAAUGAGUUGAAUGAGUCUAUUGACUUUCUGGCUAUGAUGCGAGCGUGUAGUGUCAUCAAAAAUUGGGAGGAAGUGAGAUGUGGCUACUAUGUCGUGUACUAUAUGUUUGAAACAGUUCAACAUCACCGUAGUAAUGAGGAUCUUGUUAGAUUUUUCAAGAACAAUACCUUAUAAUGGGGAGGAGAUAAAUGAGGUUCGAGAUAUUUAGUCAAACUAUUUCAUGAUCAACGUUGAAAUUAGAUUUAAACUUAGCUAAAUCCAUUUGUUUGUUAGACUUUUUUUUUGUUUUAGUUCUUAGGCUUGAAAUGAAUGUAUUUGGGGUACCAACAUUUUGGGUUGGUCUUUGUUCUUGUGUUGGUUGAUGAUAUCAAUAAUUUUGAGUUGUAAAAUUUUGAUACUCUGCCGAAAUUUACAUUUGCAUUCAAUAAUAUUGCAUUUUAAUUUCAA